rnacentral:misc_RNA from 1 species
UCCUCCCUCAAACCUCGGGUUUGGUGUUGGGCCGCGUGGGUUGCCCCUCAAGGUGACCAACUGGCCUCAAAGGCAAUGGCGGCGUCCGUGGGACCCUCGGUGCAACGAGCUUCUAAGGAGCACGCGUCGAGUUUCAAGGACCUUCCGGGCCGGUCUUCAUUUUCAAAUCAUCACAAA